AGAAAGCAGGGGCGGAGCCAGGAGUUUUUCAAAAAGAUGGCCAGGCAGGGGCAAGCAAUCAGCCAACCCUAGCUCCGCCACUGGGAGAAAGAGGAGAGUUGGAGAGAAAUUGCCAGAUUUCUUGGACAGUCAGGUCCAGCAUCACAUCUAACUCAUGCCGGAUGAGCGCUGUCACCUGUCACCUUUCUCAGCGUUGGUUAGGAUGAACCAAUCACAGUCAUCUGUUAUUACUGGAUGGAUGAGUAGUUUAAGAAUGAUUAUAUAGAAAGUAGGACAAAUCACUUCAGGUAAACGUUUGAUGUUCUUAGAGAAAAUAGUAUUAUUUAAAGCAUUCUGUAAUGACACCUCAUUGUUUAUUUUCAGUUUUUGCACAUAAAAUAUGUUCUGUUCUGUCAUUAUGACACUGCUAGUCAUUUUAUUUUGACAGUUCUGGGUUAUAAAAAUGCAGCGAAGUUCUAGCAGAAAGACUAGCAGAUGUACAUCAUCGCACCAUUAGCUGGGUAAUUCCCAGACAAUCAGAUGUAAUCCAUUGCUUUAUAAGUCUGCUCACAAUCUGUCAGAUUGCUGUUUCAGUGUGCUAACACAGCAACCUCCACCACCCCACCACCACAAGUUGAGUCCCGUGCUGCACGGGGGUAUGCUCCUCACCCCUGCCUUCCAUCUCCGGCAGGAUAUGACGGUUCCGAGUACAACUUCUUCGGACCACCAGACGGGACUUACGCCAAAGAGAGACAUUACAUUUCUGUUUUAUAUUCAUCAAAUAAAUGUCAUCUUCAAUUUCA